GCAUUGUAGAUACUGUUCCUUCUAUUUGUGUUUUGCUCUCAGUUGGUUAUGGGGGUAGUACUGCCAAUGAGAACAACUGAAACUCUCAAUAUCUCUCAAUAUUAUAUACCCUUUGGAUUCGCCUACUUUUAGAAUUUAUCUCUUAUAUCUAAUAAUUACUAAUAGUAUGUCAUAUAAUCAAAGGUGAGAUUGACAUUGGUAUCAGGUUACAUUCUCGCACCUGGACGUCUUUCUUCUUUCCCGACGGCUUUGUUGUAUUGUUUUUAAACACGAUUCUUUUGUAAUGUUGUUUUGUUUAAACAAACACAGACGUAAAAGCCCUGUUUUCGGCGUUUCGUUGUCGUGAACCCACUGUAAACAGCUCGCCGAAAGGUGUCGAAGAAAUCAGCAUAUUCACGGAUUUCCCCCAAUCAGAUUCCAUUGAAAUCUUUACCAGUAGUUUCAAAAUACGCACAGAUCAGCCAGAAUACAAGAAUUUGGACUCUCUUUUAA